CACCCGUUGAAACCGGAUUCAAAAUAUUAUAGGGGAGGGGAAAAGUCGGAAAUGCCCGACAACGCACGAAACAUGAUUGACUGACAGCGCAGUUUGAUUUUGGUGAAAUCAAACUUAGAGAAAUGCAAAUAAGCAAAUUCGACAUGCAAUUUGCUUAAAAAUCAACUUUAUUUGCAUGUUAAUUCGAUCAACGCAUAUCGCACUCUUCCAUAUCACCAGAAAAAUUAUUUUGCAGCUGUGAUUUUUGUCCGAAUGCCAUCAAAUCAGUUAUGUACACUUAGAGAAACUAAACUCCGCAUUGACUGCGCGGCAAUGCAAUGCAACGUAUGCGAAUAAUUUAAUCGAGAACCUAUUGAUCAAGCGUCACAACGUGUUUAAAACAUAAGUCCGGCUUAAUACUGUUCAUAAGUACCAUUAUAAAACCAACAAGAGCAGUAAGAAACACUAAAAUUAAUAAAACUAGUGGAACAAACGUAUUUCUGCAAAUCAUCGUGUGUCUGAUUGGUGCGAACAUGAAGAGAGAAAUGGAAAACACGCAUAUACAGUCACACGACUAAAAUGUACUUAUUUGGCUUCACUUCUUCCACAGCGUUCGGGCCUUCUCGGUCA